AAAAGAAGUAGCUUUAGAUUUUCAAUGUUUUUACAAAUUAAUUAUAUUGAUCUUGGAAAAUUUAAAAAAAAGAAAAUGGAAAUGAUGCUUGUACUGCUCUUCUGUCUAUGCUGAACUUCAGAAAACACAAAGAAAUGUUUGGGAACCUGUGGCAGACAUGAAUUUUUCUUCCUAGCUGUUGCUUGUCAACAAUACACAUGGUAUGAUAGAAGUCCUGGAGAGAUUAGGCAUACAAGGGACACACCUCAACACAAUAAAGACAGUUUGCAGCAAGUCCAAAGCCAACAUCAACUUAAAAAGGGAGAAACACAAAGCAAUUCCACCAAAAUCAGGAACAAGGCAAGGCUGUCCACUCUCUCUAUACCCUUUCAAUAUAAUACUUGAAGACUUAGGUAGAACAGUAAGACAACUGAAAUCAAGUUAAAUCAAGAGAAUAUAAUUUGUAAAGGAAGAAGUCAAAGUAUUGAAAUUUGCAGAAAAUUCCAACAGGAAACUCCUAUAGCUGAUAAACACUUUUAACAAAAUAGCUGGAUACAAAAUUAACUCACAAAAAGCAGAAGCCCUUCUUUAUACAAAUGACAAAAUGACUGAGAAAGAUAUCAGAGAGACAACACCUUUCAUAAUAGGCUCAAAUAAUACAAAAUACCUUGGGAUAUCUUUUACCAAGCAAAUGAAAGAUUUGUGUGAUAAAACCUCAAGUCAUUGAAGAAAGAAAUGAAAGAGAAGGUAUCAGAGGAUGUAAAAAUAACCUAUGCUCACGGAUAGAUAGGAUUAACGUAGUCAAAAUGGUCAUCCUAUCAAAAGCAAUCUACAGAUUCAAUGAAAUCUUCAUUGAAAUUCCAACACAACUCUUGGCAGUUCUUAAAAGGGGAAUCUUUAGCUUCAUAUAGAAACACAAAAGCCAGGCUAGAUAAAAUAAUCAUGAAUGAUAAAUGAACUGCUGGAGGUAUCACCAUCCCUGAUUUCAAGUUGCAUUACAGAGAUACAGUAAUAAAAACAGCAUCGUAUUGACAGAAAGCAGACACAUUGAUCAAUGGAUUGUAAUUGAAGACUGAGACAAAUAUUCACACACCAAUGGACAAUGUAUUUUUGAUAAAGAUGUUAGAAAUGCACACAGGAAAAAAGACAUCAUCUUCAACAAAUUGUUCUAGUCAAUCUGGAUGGCUGCAUGUAGAAUAAUUCAAAUAGAUCCAUACUUAACAUCUUGUACAAAACUCUCUACUCCAAAUAGAUCAAAGAUCUCAACAUAAAACCAGAUACAGUGAACCUGACCGAAGAGAAUGUUGGGAAUAUCCUCAAACUAAGUGGUGCAAGAGAAGACUUUCUGAACAGAACCCCAUUCACACAGGCACUGAGAUCCACAAUUAAUAAAUGAGACCUCAUAAGACUGAGAAACUUCUCUAAGGCAAAGGAGGACAUCAUUCAAACGAAGUGGCAGUCCACAGAUUUUUGAGAACUCCACAUUCUAUAAAAGACAAAUAUCUAAAAUAUAUAAAAGACUCAGGAAAUUAGUUAUCAAGAAAACAAAUAAUCCAAUUAAAAUGAAUUCUCAAUAGAGGGAUCUCGAAUAGCUGAGAAAUACUUAACAUGCUCAACAUCCUUAUCCAAGAGGGAAAUGCAAAUCAAAGCUACUUUGUCAUUUUAUCUUAACCUGUCAGAAUGACUAAGAUAAACAAAACAAGUGACAGCUCAUAUUGCCAAGGAUGUGGAAUAAGAGAAAUACUUGUUAUUUCUGGUUGGAGUAUAAACUUUUUAUAGCUACAAUAGAAAUAAGUGUGGCAGUUCCUCGGAAAAAUAUUAAUCAGUCUACCUAAAGACGCAGCUAUAAUACUCUUGGACAUAUACCCAAAGGAUGUUUCACCCUACCACAGAGACACUUGUGUAAACACGUUCAUCAGUGCUCUCUUCAUAAUAGUCAAAAAUUAGAAACAACUUAGAUGUCUCUAAACAGAAGAACUAAAAAAAAUAAAAUAUGGCACAUUUACACAAUGGAGUAUUAUUCAGCCAUUAAAAAUGACGUCACACCACCAAUGUCCCUGGUAAAUGUUUACACCAGAAGCCUGGUGGAUGUCCAUGGUCCAUGCUAUCACUAGACACCAUGUGAACAUCCAUGAUCCAUGCUCCUGCUGACUGUAAAGAACAAAGAAGCUUCUCCUGUAGUGCUGUUGAUGAUUGAGGACUCACUGCUGAGAAGAGAGACAUACAAGUUUUCUGUAAUGACCCCCCUGCCCCCAAAUAUAGCAACCUAGACAGGAAGCCAUCGAAGAGAACUUUUAAAAAUCAUGAUAGGAACACUGAAGUAUAGCUCUCCACAUUGAGGGCUGCUUUCAGGGGUGGGGGUGAGGCUGGCUACUGGGAGUUUGACCAAAGGACAACACAAAUUAGCCUUUUGCAAAAAGUUUUUCAGUAGUCCACAAGAAUGGGUGUGUGGAUCUAGGAGGACAGGGAUGUAAAGGUGAUUGGGUGUAUUAUAUGAAAUUCCCUAAUAAGCAAGAAAAAUAUUUUGUUAAAAAUGACACCAUGAAAUUCACAGUUUAUGAACUAGAGAAAAAAACACCCUGAGUGAGAUAACUCAGACCAAGAAAGAAAAAAGUAUGGUAUAUAUUCACUUAUAUGUGGAUACUAACUGUUAAUUCAAUUGCAACCAUUCUAUAGCCCAUAGAUUCACAGAGGGUAGGUAUAUAGUAAUAGACUAUAGGGAACAGAAAGAUCCAACGAGGAAAGGUAAGUAGAUAUUUGUGGAGGGAUAAGUGUUCUGAAAUGGGAGGUUCAUGUUGGGGAAGGAAUAUGGAGAGAGAACACUAAAACUAAGGGGUAUUUGAAGGGGUAAGUUAGAAACCUAAUACAGUAGAAACUUCCUAAAAAUUAAUACAUAUAGGAGGGCGGUCUGAAUAAAAUUGCCAAACAAUGUGGGAGACAGAGUCCCAUCUAGACAGUUCUGUCACCAAAUGAAGCUUUCAGUGCCAGGUCUGGGUUACAUCUACUUGAGUUGCUGGACAAAGGAGCCCACAGGAAUACCCAAACAACUCAGAUUAUUGCCAAGACUAUAUUAUUGCUAAAAACUGCUAUUAAAGCUCCAUUGAUGAAGACAAUAUCUACACAACUCAUGGAAAACAAAGAUGUUGAGCUGGUGCCUACAGGGAGACUUUACCUCUAUGUUCUAGUGUCUUUGAUACAGGAAGGUAUUCUGCAUUUUGUCAAAAGAGAAACAUAAGCACCAAGCCAGCUGCAAACACUUUAUUUACAAUGUUGUCCUGCCUGCAAGAUAUACUAGGGCAAUGUUGGCACAAAGCUUGUGGGAGUAACCAACCAACACCUUAUUUGACUUAAGACCCUCUUCACAAGAUGGAAUCCAUACCUGACACUAUUGGGCAACCAAGAACCAGAGAUUAGAUAGCUCAUGGACCUAGGAUAAAAUCAAAUAAUAUUGGUGUAAACAAUGUAAUGAUAAUGACUCCUAAUGAUAUUCUGUCAUACUCACAGAUGGCCUUGUUUAGCCAUCAUCAGAAAAGAUUCCUUCUGCACCAGUGGGCACAAAUACAGAGACCAACAGCCAGAGACUAUGCAGAGAGUUGGAUACUCAGCUCUAAGUGGGUUUCUUUAUCAAAUCCUGACACUCCCUCAGAGCUCACAGAGCCUGGUAAUAGAGGAGGUAGAAAGAGUAUGUGAGCCAUAUGGAGCCAAGAAAGAAGGCCUUUAAAUCAUCAUGAGCAAAGCUCACUGGAACUUAAGAGACUGAAGCAGCAUUAUGGACCUGCAAAGGUACUUUCUCAAAAAAAAAAAAGAAAGAAAGAAAAAGGAAACCACAGCUAUGUUACAUGAGGCUCAUUCCUCAAGUCUGCUGUAUUGAAAAUACCUCCCUUCCUGAACUUGAGUUCAUAUCCUCUGGCCAUCUGAUUCUUGGCUGCCUCUUGAGGGCUGGGAAGAAUACUGUGUUUUUGCUGGGCAGAGGAAAGACUCCACCAUCUGGUCCUCAGGGACCUUCUCAGAAUAUACUCUCCACUGUCUUUACUAGGGGCUUGUGUUGUUACAAGUCUGCUGUGGUUUGACUGAAACUGUAAAAUACGAUGAACAAUAUAUGUGAGAAUAAUAAAAUGGCUAAGAACCAGGGGCUGUCACCUCAUCUUGGAUUCCAUGUCUUCUUAUUCGCUGUCCAGGAGGCCUUUUCAGCACUACUGGUUGUACCCUUUGCUCAUUGCUAAAUGGUUGCUAGGCCUUGCUGUCUGAAGUGUUCUCAGCUGCAUUCCCAGGAAGCCUGAUGGAGAUGUCCUAUUUCAGUGCUGAAUUUCUAGUAGAAUACAAGGUGGACAAAGGAAACAUGGAAGCCCUUCCUGGUAGACAUCCCCGUUGGAGGAAUGCUGACUUCAUACUGCUGCCUGCUGCUUAUGUGGUUCCAUCAGUCCUCAGCCUCUCUAAAGAUGACAUUGAAGAUACUGUUAGCUUCUCCUGGCAUACCUCUGCCAUUGGCAAGAUUAAAGUUUAAAAAUGAUUAUCAGCAGUUACAUUUUGAACUUUCUGCCUCUACUCCAAUAAUCAGAAGAGGCAUUUGUGUGAGAUGUUAGCUGUGAGGUAUACCUUUCUCUCCUAUUAGGAGGGUUUGAAGGUAAGAAGAAGAAUCACCAUACAAGUUGCAUUUUGAACUGAUGCAACAAAGGAACUACACUACGACCCAAGGGGCAAAAUGGUGGGGAAAAUGGCAUAGAACCAUUUCAUCUUCUCAACCUUCUCUAUGGAAAUAUCCUCCUAUUCUUCGCAAACUGCACCAAAGCCAUGUUUCUACCUAUCAGUGGACUCUCUCUGGACUUGGCCUUGUCUGCUCUGCUAGCAGCUCACAGCUCUUCAUGACAACUGAGAGCAGCUUGGACUGCUACACAACCAUUCAAGAAGCGACACAGUUUUUCAAAACAAGGCAGUUCUAUUAAUGAGCCUUUAAAAUCUUCUAGGUUCAAGUUGUCGGUUGCUUGUUUCUGCGAACAUGAUCUUUCAGCUUCUGGACUUGGAGAUAAUCCAGUUCUCUGGUCAAAGCCUGAAAUUGUGGUGCUUUGUCAUGGUAGUCUUAGGAAAUGAUGGUCAAAAACAGAGAGAUGUAGGAGCAGAGAGAAGACAUACCUGUGUAAAUCAGAGGGUCACAGAGGUUUUGGAUCUUUUAUGUUGUGUCUCCUUUACCUUGAUGUUUUCCCUUGUCACAGGCUAACAAUGUUAAGGCUAAGGAAAAUAGAUAUAAACACUUGAAACUGGGAGCCAAAAUACACAAAGCAUGUGUCACAGCAGCAGAAAGAUGAUGAAUACAGGAGAAAGAAAGAAAUCAAUUGUAAAACUUUAAAUAAGUAAUACAUAGUAGAAUUACAGUUUAACAAUAUUUGCCAAUUAACUGUAAAAAUAUCCAGGAUGGACAGUAUGAACCUGAUAAUACAUUUUUAACUUUUGAUUUAUAUAGUAUAUACAAGAGAAGUAGAGAAAAAUAUGUUUUCCUUAGUAUUAUGUUACUUAAUGAUACAUCUAAAAAUGGAAUUGUACUUGCAGAACUUGGGGAAUGGAAUGGGAUGGCCAUCGGUAUGGAGUCUGAUGGGGACUUACUGAUGGGGACUGAGAAAGAAUGGGUUUUUCAGCAUGUAAUGAGAUAAUCUUGUGGAGCCACCAUGGGACCAAACUAGGCCCUCUGCAUGUGGGAGAUAUUUGUGAAGCUUGGGCUAUCUGAGAGGCCCCUGGCAUCAGGACCAGGAUCUACCCCUGGUGCAUAAGCUAGCUUGCUGGAGCCCAUUCCCUAUUUUCAGUCUUAACACAGGGCUGGGAGUGGAGGUUCUGUCCUGCCCCAACUUAAUAUGUCAGAGUUUUUCGACCUCUCAUGGGAGCCCUUAACUGUGGGGAGGAGUG